AAAUUGAAGAGUUUGAUCAUGGCUCAGAUUGAACGCUGGCGGCAGGCCUAACACAUGCAAGUCGAGCGGUAGCACAGAGAGCUUGCUCUCGGGUGACGAGCGGCGGACGGGUGAGUAAUGUCUGGGAAACUGCCUGAUGGAGGGGGAUAACUACUGGAAACGGUAGCUAAUACCGCAUAAUGUCGCAAGACCAAAGUGGGGGACCUUCGGGCCUCAUGCCAUCAGAUGUGCCCAGAUGGGAUUAGCUAGUAGGUGGGGUAACGGCUCACCUAGGCGACGAUCCCUAGCUGGUCUGAGAGGAUGACCAGCCACACUGGAACUGAGACACGGUCCAGACUCCUACGGGAGGCAGCAGUGGGGAAUAUUGCACAAUGGGCGCAAGCCUGAUGCAGCCAUGCCGCGUGUGUGAAGAAGGCCUUCGGGUUGUAAAGCACUUUCAGCGGGGAGGAAGGCGGUGAGAUUAAUAACCUCAUCGAUUGACGUUACCCGCAGAAGAAGCACCGGCUAACUCCGUGCCAGCAGCCGCGGUAAUACGGAGGGUGCAAGCGUUAAUCGGAAUUACUGGGCGUAAAGCGCACGCAGGCGGUCUGUCAAGUCGGAUGUGAAAUCCCCGGGCUCAACCUGGGAACUGCAUUCGAAACUGGCAGGCUAGAGUCUUGUAGAGGGGGGUAGAAUUCCAGGUGUAGCGGUGAAAUGCGUAGAGAUCUGGAGGAAUACCGGUGGCGAAGGCGGCCCCCUGGACAAAGACUGACGCUCAGGUGCGAAAGCGUGGGGAGCAAACAGGAUUAGAUACCCUGGUAGUCCACGCCGUAAACGAUGUCGAUUUGGAGGUUGUGCCCUUGAGGCGUGGCUUCCGGAGCUAACGCGUUAAAUCGACCGCCUGGGGAGUACGGCCGCAAGGUUAAAACUCAAAUGAAUUGACGGGGGCCCGCACAAGCGGUGGAGCAUGUGGUUUAAUUCGAUGCAACGCGAAGAACCUUACCUGGUCUUGACAUCCACAGAACUUAGCAGAGAUGCUUUGGUGCCUUCGGGAACUGUGAGACAGGUGCUGCAUGGCUGUCGUCAGCUCGUGUUGUGAAAUGUUGGGUUAAGUCCCGCAACGAGCGCAACCCUUAUCCUUUGUUGCCAGCGGUUAGGCCGGGAACUCAAAGGAGACUGCCAGUGAUAAACUGGAGGAAGGUGGGGAUGACGUCAAGUCAUCAUGGCCCUUACGACCAGGGCUACACACGUGCUACAAUGGCAUAUACAAAGAGAAGCGACCUCGCGAGAGCAAGCGGACCUCAUAAAGUAUGUCGUAGUCCGGAUUGGAGUCUGCAACUCGACUCCAUGAAGUCGGAAUCGCUAGUAAUCGUAGAUCAGAAUGCUACGGUGAAUACGUUCCCGGGCCUUGUACACACCGCCCGUCACACCAUGGGAGUGGGUUGCAAAAGAAGUAGGUAGCUUAACCUUCGGGAGGGCGCUUACCACUUUGUGAUUCAUGACUGGGGUGAAGUCGUAACAAGGUAACCGUAGGGGAACCUGCGGUUGGAUCACCUCCUUACCUUAAAGAA
rnacentral:rRNA from 1 species